rnacentral:tRNA from 1 species
CAUUAAGAAGCUAUGGAACAGCGCUAGCCUUUUAAGCUAGAGAAAGGAGGCACACCCCCCCUUAAUGA